rnacentral:rRNA from 1 species
CUAGGCCGGGUAUUGGUUAAGGUCUGGAUUGGUGGAAAAUCCCCGCCGGUUUAACCCUCCGGGAACAUGCACUUUCGAAAUACCUGGGCAUGGUCUAUGAGUUAGUGGUAAGAAGGGUGGAGUGGAAAUCUCCCGGCGUUGUAGCAGGGUGAAAAUGUCGCUAGAAUAUCUGGAAAGAAAGACCGGCUGGCGAAGGCGACGCCCUGGACCGAUUACUGACGCUCAGGCGCGAAAGCGUGGGGAGCAAACAGGAUUAGAUACCCUGGUAGUC